GAAUGUUUUAUCAAACAUGAGGAUCAUUAUAGAGCAAGAGUCAAUUUUCACUGUGGUUUUGAGAAGAUCAAUGUGAUCUCAGAAAAAUUGACUGACUCUCAAAAGGUUUUGUUUAGUAAGACUUGCUUUGGUCAUUUUCUAAACCUUAAAUCUUAUGCUAAUCAAGCUAAAUUGGUUCACCAUGUUUUGUUGAGAGAAGUUAACCAGCCAAACUUAAAUGAAAUGUGGUUUAAAGUUUGUGGAAAGCUGAUUAGGUUUUCUUUGGGUGAAUUUGGGUUAUUGUCUGGGUUAAAUGUGUUUGGUGACAUUGAUAGAGGUGGAAUUAAGAAUAGUAAUCCUAUUGGAUUGUAUUCUAAAUUUUUUGGUGACCAUACAAGGGGCAUUUCAAGAAUUAUUGUUGAAGAAAGGUUUAAGGCUGCCAGUUUUGAUAAUGAUGAUGAGGCUGUUAGGAUGGCUGUACUUUACCUGAUCACUAACUUUUUGUAUGCUUGGCAAAAAGAGAAGAACAUUGAAAAAACUGACUUGUAUCUUUGUGAUAGUGGUGGUUUUAAUCAUUUUCCAUGGGGAAAGGAUAUUUUUAAUGUGACUCUCUCAUCUUUGAGAGAUGCUUUAAGGGAAAAUGAAGUUGUUAUUACUCGACAAGGUUCUUACCCAACCUAUAAGUUGAAUGGUUUGCCAUUUGUUUUCCAAGUUUUCAUUUACGAAUCAAUUCCUAGUUUAGAGGGAACUUAUUGUGAGAAGGUUAGUUGUGGUCUGCCUAGGAUUAUAAAUUGGUCAUCUGUUGCAAUCCCAUCUCAUAAGGAGCUUGAGAGGAAUGUGUUUUCAUUACAUAAGACCAAAAUUGUUAAAGUUUUGCCCACUGAUGAAGAGAACAAUGCCUUCAAGCUUGAAGGUUUUUUCCAGUGCAACAAGGAUAUGAAUGUUGCUGAUUUUGAGGAUGAUGAUUUUGUUGCUCCUCCAAAGAAACCAACCAGUGAGGCUCCUUCAUCAUCCUAUGUUCCUUGUGUGACAUUUGGUUUUUCUGAUAUGAAAAUUAUUGUGGAUGAAUGUCAGAAGAAGUGUAACAUUAUGUCUAAGGAAAUUGCAUUUUUAAAGUCUGCUAGUGAAUCUAGACAUAGGGCAUUGAUGGAGAUAUUGGUUAAUUUGAAAAACGAUCAAGAUUUAAAACACAAGGCAGUUAUGGAAAUGUUAGGUGAGUUGAGGCCAAAAUCAUGUGGUAUUAAUGAUGAUAUUGAUCCUGUUGAUGUUGGUUUUGUGGGAGCUGAUGUUGGUGAUACUUCUGGUGGUGGUGGUGUUUCAAAGGAAAAUGAUAAGUUUUUUGAAAAUGAAAGUUUUACCCAAGUUUUUGAUGAAUGCAUUCAAGCAAUGCAAGAAGAUGCUGCUGGAGAUAUGGUAAUUGCAGAUGAUAAGAAUGAUACAGUAAAUGAGAAUGAGAAGACUACUGGGAAUGAUGUUGAAGAAACAAUGAAUAUUGUCAAACCUCAUGAUGAUGUAGCUGAUGUUGUUAAAGAUCUAGAAGAAGAGGCUCAUAUUUUUAACAACAUGAAUGUGGAGAUUUUUGAUAAAGUUGUUCAUGCAGCUGUUGGUGAUUUGGCAAAGAAAAAGGUAACUAAACAAGGCAGAUAUUGUAUUUUUUUUCUUUUUGCAAUAUUUUCCAAUAGUUGUAUUAUUGAGUUUUUCAUAUUAUUUUUGUUUCUAGGAAGUUGUUAUGGCAACACCCAUUGCUGGUUCUUUGAUGAAUCCAGUAGUUGUGUCUACUCCUGUUGUUGGCAAAAGGAAUCCAAAGCCUACUACAGUUUUGCAAUCUCCUUUUGUUAACCAAUUUGGAUCAUCUUCUUCUGAGGAUAUGAAACAUUUGGAGGUUGUGAAGUCUAAAAGGAAGGUUGUGGGACGAUAUGCUUUUGGAGACAAUCUUUUUGAUCUGCCUAAUCAAAUUGACCAAGACUCUUUUAACAAGUGGUUUUCUCUGGGGCUGAGAAAAAAUAAUAAGUAUAAGAAAUUUGAUGAUAAUAAUAGUAUCAUUAAGGAGCCAUUUCAGUUUUGUGUAACUGAGAUUGAGAGAAAAAUUUGGUUUUAUGAUUUAGUUAAAGAUGGGAGGGAUUUGGACAAUGAGCAUAUUAAUGUGGCAUUUUAUUACCUUAGAAAAAAAGCCAAGUAUUGUGAGUUGAUAAAGGUUAGAGUUACUAUUACAGAUAACUCUUUUGAUCAAGUUAUCACUGCUCUGUAUGAUGUGUAUCUGUCAAGUGAUUGUGAUCGAUCUGUUAUAUCGAAUAACAGUGUUAUUUUUGAGUAUAUUUGUGGUUAUAAAAUGCUUUGUAACACCCCUUGGUCGCUAGUAGAUUUCGUUUUAUUCCCUAUUAAUAUGACUGCUGUUGGCUGUAAUCAUUGGAUUCUUGGGGAGUUCAACGUGAAGCAGAGAUUUUUUAAAGUCUACAACUCAAUGAGGAAUAGAGUUAUGGAUAAGAAAGAGUUGAAAGUUGUUGAAGCAUAUUCUACUUUGUUGCCCUUGUUUCUUUCUUUAAAUAAUUUUUAUGAGUCAAGGGAAGAUAUUGAUCUAAAUGCACAAGCAUUCAAGGGCAUUGAUAUGUGUCACCCGUUGGACAUUGUGUUUGAUGAUGAGGUUCCACAACAGAGUAACAAGUAAGUGGUUUUUUUUUUAGUUAUUGUUAUUUUUUGGUUGCAUGAUUUUGUUUAUAUGCAUUUAUGUGUUACUGAUUUUGAGUUUUUUUUUUUUGUAGUGAUUGUGGGAUUUUUAUCAUAAAGUUUGCUGAAUUUCUUAUGCAUGGACUUAUUGAAAAUAUCCCCAAUCCUCUGAAUGUUAGUUUCCAGAGAAACAAAAUUGCAGUCGAGCUAUAUGUCCAUGCUAAAAGAAAGAAAGAUGAAGGCUAUCUAUCUGAUGGGGAGUUCAGAGGAAGAAUGAGCAAGAAGAUGUUGAAUAUUAAUGCAAUGGAAGUAUGAGAGCAUCAAAGUAGUUAACAUUUUGGCGCUUAUCUUGUAAAGACGAUACAUACUUAUGGCAAGAUAACUUUUGUGUUUUUGUUUUGCAAACUUUCAAGCAAGUAUCAUGUUUGAAUAUUUUGAAUACUAUGGCAUAUCAAUGAAUUUUGAUAUUAGCCCUUUUUUUAUGAGGAAUGUUGUACAGAGGUGUCUCAAGUUUGUAACUUGAGUUCACAACUUUAUUUUUAUAUUUCAUGUUUUAGGUAACAUCUGUUAAAAGUUUGUAACCUAAGUUCAUGCAAAAUUGCGUAGCA